UUUUCUGAUUUUUUUAUUAAAACUAUUUCAAUUAUUUAAUCCUUUCGUACUAAAAUAACUUUGAACUCCUUAGAAGAUAGAAACCAACCUGGCUUUCGCCGGUCUGAACUCAAAUCAUGUAAAAAUUUAAAGGUCGAACAGACCUUCUUCUGUAACUGCUUCACCACAGAGAAAUUUUUAAUUCAACAUCGAGGUCGCAAACUCUCUUGUCGAUAAGAACUCUCAAAAAAAAUUACGCUGUUAUCCCUAAAGUAAUUUAUUCUCUAAUCCUAAAAAAGGAUCAUACGGACAAAUAUCUCUGAUUUAAACAAAAAACAAAUAUAUAAUUUAUAUCCUAGUCGCCCCAACUAAACACCCUGCUGAUAAUAAACUUUAGCACCUUAAAUCACUCUUAACCACUUCAUGUAUAAAACUUUAUAGGGUCUUAUCGUCCCUCUAACUCAUUUAAGCCUUUUCACUUAAAAGUUAAAUUCAAUCCCCAAGAUAGAGACAGCUUUCUUCUCGUCCAACCAUUCAUUCCAGCCUUCAAUUAAAAGACUAAUGAUUAUGCUACCUUCGCACGGUCAAAAUACCGCGGCCUUUUAGUCCCCAAUGGGCAGGAAAGACUUUUUAUGAAUUUAGUUUAAAGAUUUAAAGUGAGUGUAUUAGUAUAUAAGUUGUUUGUUUUAAAUAAAUUUUGGAAAAUUAAUGAGGUUUAUUGAAGGGGUGAUGAGUAUAAGGAAUUCGGCAAAUAGGGCUCUUCCGCCUGUUUAUCAAAAACAUGUCUGUAUGAGAGUUAUAUAAAGUCUAACCUGCCCAUUGGGGACUAAAAGGCCGCGGUAUUUUGACCGUGCGAAGGUAGCAUAAUCAUUAGUCUUUUAAUUGAAUGCUGGAAUGAAUGGUUGGACGAGAAGAAAGCUGUCUCUAUCUUGGAGAUUGAAUUUAACUUUUAAGUGAAAAGGCUUAAAUGAGUUAGAGGGACGAUAAGACCCUAUAAAGUUUAUACAUGAAGUUGGUUAAGAGUGAUUUAAGAUGUUAAAGUUUAUUAUCAGCAGGGUGUUUAGUUGGGGCGACUAGGAUAUAAAUUAUAUAACUGUUUUUUGUUUAAAUCAGAGAUAUUUGUUCGUAUGAUCCUUUUUUAGGAUUAGAGAAUAAAUUACUUUAGGGAUAACAGCGUAAUUUUUUUUGAGAGUUCUUAUCGACAAGAGAGUUUGCGACCUCGAUGUUGAAUUAAAAAUUUCUCUGUGGUGAAGCAGUUACAGAAGAAGGUCUGUUCGACCUUUAAAUUUUUACAUGAUUUGAGUUCAGACCGGCGAAAGCCAGGUUGGUUUCUAUCUUCUAAGGAGUCCAAAGUUAUUUUAGUACGAAAGGAUUAAAUAAUUGAAAUAGUUUUAAUAAAAAAAUCAGAAAAA